AUUGAACGCUGGCGGCAGGCUUAACACGUGCAAGUCGAGCGGGGAAAGGUAGCUUGCUACCUGACCUAGCGGCGGACGGGUGAGUAAUGCUUAGGAGUCUGCCUAUUAGUGGGGGACAACAUCUCGAAAGGGAUGCUAAUACCGCAUACGUCCUACGGGAGAAAGCAGGGGACCUUCGGGCCUUGCGCUAAUAGAUGAGCCUAAGUCGGAUUAGCUAGUUGGUGGGGUAAAGGCCUACCAAGGCGACGAUCUGUAGCGGGUCUGAGAGGAUGAUCCACCACACUGGGACUGAGAAACGGCCCAGACUCCUACGGGAGGCAGCAGUGGGGAAUAUUGGACAAUGGGGGGAACCCUGAUCCAGCCAUGCCGCGUGUGUGAAGAAGGCCUUUUGGUUGUAAAGCACUUUAAGCGAGGAGGAGGCUACUUUGGUUAAUACCUAGAGAUAGUGGACGUUACUCGCAGAAUAAGCACCGGCUAACUCUGUGCCAGCCGCCGCCGUAAGAC
rnacentral:rRNA from 1 species